rnacentral:rRNA from 1 species
GACGAACGCUGGUGGCGUGCUUAACACAUGCAAGUCGAACGGGAUUUAGUAAACAGAAGCCUCGGUGGAAGAUUACUACUGAGAGUGGCGAACGGGUGAGUAACGCGUUAGCAACCUGCCUAUUACAGGGGGAUAGCGUCGGGAAACCGGGGGUAAUACCGCAUAAUAUCGUAGAAACACAUGUUUUAACGGUCAGAGAUUUAUCGGUCAUAGAUGGGCUCGCGUCUGAUUAGCUAGUUGGUGAGAUAACAGCCCACCAAGGCGACGAUCAGUGGCCGGUCGGAGAGGAUGACCGGCCACAAUGGAACUGAGACACGGACCAAUACCGUAGGCGAGGGAGCAGAGGGGAAUAUUGCAGGAGGAGGGAAAACCUGAUGACGCGACGCGGCGUGAACGAAGAAGGUAUUCGUAUAGUAAAGUUCUGUCCUAUGGGAAGAUAAUGACAGUACCAUAGAAGAAAGCACCGGCUAACUACGUG